AGAGUUUGAUCCUGGCUCAGGACGAACGCUGGCGGCGUGCCUAAUACAUGCAAGUCGAGCGAGCGGAACUAACAGAUUUACUUCGGUAAUGACGUUAGGAAAGCGAGCGGCGGAUGGGUGAGUAACACGUGGGGAACCUGCCCCAUAGUCUGGGAUACCACUUGGAAACAGGUGCUAAUACCGGAUAAGAAAGCAGAUCGCAUGAUCAGCUUUUAAAAGGCGGCGUAAGCUGUCGCUAUGGGAUGGCCCCGCGGUGCAUUAGCUAGUUGGUAAGGUAAAGGCUUACCAAGGCGAUGAUGCAUAGCCGAGUUGAGAGACUGAUCGGCCACAUUGGGACUGAGACACGGCCCAAACUCCUACGGGAGGCAGCAGUAGGGAAUCUUCCACAAUGGACGCAAGUCUGAUGGAGCAACGCCGCGUGAGUGAAGAAGGUUUUCGGAUCGUAAAGCUCUGUUGUUGGUGAAGAAGGAUAGAGGUAGUAACUGGCCUUUAUUUGACGGUAAUCGACCAGAAAGUCACGGCUAACUACGUGCCAGCAGCCGCGGUAAUACGUAGGUGGCAAGCGUUGUCCGGAUUUAUUGGGCGUAAAGCGAGCGCAGGCGGAAGAAUAAGUCUGAUGUGAAAGCCCUCGGCUUAACCGAGGAACUGCAUCGGAAACUGUUUUUCUUGAGUGCAGAAGAGGAGAGUGGAACUCCAUGUGUAGCGGUGGAAUGCGUAGAUAUAUGGAAGAACACCAGUGGCGAAGGCGGCUCUCUGGUCUGCAACUGACGCUGAGGCUCGAAAGCAUGGGUAGCGAACAGGAUUAGAUACCCUGGUUGUCC
rnacentral:rRNA from 1 species